CUUUGGGAAACGCUGCUCUAGGAGUAUGGGGUUAAUUAUGAUCCUUCUGUCUAGCUUUGUGCACAGAAUUUCUCCCUGAGGCAUAGCAGAUUUCAUGAAAUGUCUCAGGAUCUGGGGGGGUAGUAAUUAAUAUUCUAAGCCUUGUCGUUGUAAACUCUCCUCAUUAUUGACUUAAGGCGGGAUAGUCCCAGAGAACUGCAGGAACUGUGCGCUCAAGGGCACCCUGAUGUGCUUCCUCUGUUCUUGCAGCCUUGUGGUGUCAUAGUUACCUGACAGUUUAAAAAGAUGUGUCUGCAAACGCCGAUGGAGCAGUUUGGGUUUUUGACAACUCUCGAUUUAAUGUUUUCUGUAUGAGUCAGUCUGGGUGUGAAAACUAACUUUCACGUUGACUUUUCUGAAACAGUAAAGCCCAAGCUUUGCGUUGGAGUGCUGGAGAUCACUUGGUUAUAUGUUGACAUCUGUUCCAUCGUUCUGGUUUCUUUGCCUUUCUUUUAGUUCAUCUGUCACCUUCCAGAUAGUCUUUGAAACCUCUGACACAAUCUUUUAACCUAAAACAUAGAAACAGUGAUUUUUCCUUGUAGAAUGUGUUGGAGAAGACCCAGUGGCGCACGCCUAUAGAACUUCCCCAGCCAGGGGUAGAACCUGCACUACAGCAGCAACCCAGGCUGCUUCAGUGACAACGACAGAUUCUUAACCCUCUUCACCACUAGAGAACUCUUCCCCCUCCCCCCAGAUUUACUUUAAUUCAUCGAGAGAAAAGUCAGAAGUCAGCUCAGGCCAUUCAAGGGUUUUUUUUCUCCCCUCCAAGGCUGAGUAAAAAAUCCCCUAUUCCUUGGAGUUACUUUGUAUGAACACAAUGUAGAACUUACAAAAGACUAAGGUAAUUUUCCUCACAAUUCUAAGCAGCAGGCCUGUGCAGAGAGUGAGAAUUUUAUUUUGCUCCAGUCAGUUUCAGAACUUUAGCAAAUGGAGCCUUAUCACCAGUGCUCAAAAGCUAAGGAUAGGGAGUUCCGGUCGUGGCGCAGUGGGUAACAAAUCCGGCUAGAAACCAUGAGGUUGCGGGUUCGAUCCCUGCCCUUGCUCAGUGGGUUAACGAUCCGGCAUUGCCGUGAGCUGUGGUGUAGGUCACAGACGCGGCUCGGAUCUCACGUUGCUGUGGCUCUGGUGUAGGCCGGUGGCUACAGCACCGAUUCGACCCCUAGCCUGGGAACCUCCAUAUGCUGCGGGAGCGGCCCAAGAAAUGGC
rnacentral:lncRNA from 1 species